UACGUAGGGUGCGAGCGUUGUCCGGAAUUACUGGGCGUAAAGAGCUCGUAGGCGGUGUGUCACGUCGUUCGUGAAAACCUGCAGCUUAACUGUGGGCGUGCGGUCGAUACGGGCAUCACUGGAGUUCGGCAGGGGAGACUGGAAUUCCUGGUGUAGCGGUGAAAUGCGUAGAGAUCGGGAAGAACAUCGGUGGCGAAAGCGCUCUACUGGACCGCAACUGACACUCAGGGACGAAAGCUAGGGGAGCGAAUGGG
rnacentral:rRNA from 1 species